GCAGCAGCUGUCAUGGGAUUUAAUUAAUUAAAUUUUUUUUUUUCAAAAAAAGGCGGUAGUAUAAAAAUUGGAGAGGAACUGAUCGGUGCUCUAAAAUUUGUUGUGCCAUUUCUUAUUUUCUUUGACUACAUCACAAACGAGAAAAAAGAAGGUUGAAAGAUUUUGCUAAAAUUCAGAAGCUAAACUGGUUGAUUAAGGAGAUUCUGAGCAAUUGAGGGGUAUACCCGUGGAGAAUUUAAAGAAUUUCUCUCAAACCAGUCGAGCAAUUGAAAAAUUUUCUUCAUGAAAGUUGAAGAGGGAAUUUUAUGGGCUGAUGAAGGAGAAGGAAUUUGGGGACCCAGGAGUGUUUGACCGAUUCCAGGAGAUUCAGGGCGAUUGGAGGCUCUAAACUUUGGGGCCAAGUUCAAUUAGGAGAGGCUUAUAUACCUAAAGGAUGGAGUUGGAAAUUGUGAGUGACAAGUUUUUAUAAAUGGUUUUUAGUGCAUAGUCAAUUUAACAUGUUUUUUUAUACCAUGAUUUACUCAACACAUACUUUGAAUAUAUGUUGAUCACAUGAUCCAUAAUUUUAAAGACUGAAAUUUUAUACGUGAAAUUGACAUUUUCAAUAAGCUUAUGCCCAUAUUAUGAAAUAUGUUGAAUUUCUACAAAGAAAUUUAUAAGCAUGAUUAAUGUUUAUAAGGCACUAUGUAAUGACAUGUAGCUUUGAAGUUCAAUCAUUUUAUCAUUGAGUAUGUUGUUUUAUGUUUAUAGAAUGUUUUAAUAAUUUGUGCCUUGUACAAAAGCCAUACUCCAAAUGUUGGUACUGAAGGUAUGGUAAGGUACCCAGAUUUCCAAUUAUGCUAGGGAUCCCUGAUACCAAAGAUAUUGUUAAGUAGUCAGGAUCCUAUUUAGUUCUAUGUGCACGUAUGAUCUAUGUUAUCGACAUUGACGAGAUCGAGCAAAACAGCUCUAUCUCAACUAAGGAUAUUAGGAAUUGAGCAAAAGAGGUUUCCCUCAUGUUCAGACAAAGGAGUAGAGGUGCUUUACAAAAAAAUGAUGAUGAGUUUUAUUCGAAGGUUUUUUAUGUACUAUAAUUCCAUGUUGAGCAUUUGUAAGCUCAUUCUUUCAAAUGUUUUCUCCCCCUAGGUAGCGGCCGACGCCUCGAGGCCUAGUAUGAAGGAACCUUGUUAGGAUUUUUUAGUGAAAGCGGAUUGUCCUAAUUUUCUCAGAUUUCACAGAAUGAAAGUUUUCCAGAAAAAAAUAUUCAUUUAAUUACAUAAUUACAGCACGUUGGAAAAACAAACAGAAGAUGAUGAAUUUGGGUUUAGAACCCUUACUUUUGAAGAAUCCAAUCUUCACGUUAAAUUCUCUUAAAAAAGGGCACCACCACAAUGGCUACCACAUUAUUCUUAGGGAUGAGAACCCAUGAGGAGUGCGUUCUGGCUAUUUUUUAUUUUGAGAGGGAAGGGAUUUUCUUAGUAGAGAGGAGGA